GACGAACGCUGGCGGCGUGCUUAACACAUGCAAGUCGAGCGGUAAGGCUCCUUCGGGAGUACACGAGCGGCGCACGGGUGAGUAACACGUGAGUAAUCUGCCCUUCACUUCGGGAUAACCACCGGAAACGGUGGCUAAUACCGAAUACGACCAGUCUUCGCAUGAGGUGCUGGUGGAAAGUCUUUUCGGUGAAGGAUGUGCUCGCGGCCUAUCAGCUUGUUGGUGGGGGAAUGGCCUACCAAGGCUUCGACGGGUAGCCGGCCUGAGAGGGUGACCGGCGACACUGGAACUGAGACACGGCCCAGACUCCUACGGGAGGCAGAAGUGGGGAAUAUUGGACAAUGGGCGAAAGCCUGAUCCAGCAACGCCGCGUGAGGGAUGACGGCCUUCGGGUUGUAAACCUCUUGCAGUACCGACGAAGCGCCCUGUCGGGUGGUGACGGUAGGUACAGAAGAAGGACCGGCCAACUACGUG
rnacentral:rRNA from 1 species